UACUCGGAGUAAAGUUGGUAAACAUUUUUUCAUCAAAUAGAUGUAUUCUCUGCUGUGGUUCUCUUCUGUGUUGCUCGGAACCCGUAUAUCGUUUUCUGUUAUUUACACAUCUAAACCUGUCGGUAUUUCCCAACUGUAAGAAAGCACGGGAGAAAAAUUAUAAUUGAUAUUAAACAUGAUACAAUGAGCCAUAUAUAUAUACACUUAACAUAUCUUACUCCUAAUACAUAUUGGAUUAGG
rnacentral:lncRNA from 1 species